rnacentral:rRNA from 1 species
GAUGAACGCUGGCGGCGUGCCUAAUACAUGCAAGUCGAGCGAACAGACGAGGAGCUUGCUCCUCUGACGUUAGCGGCGGACGGGUGAGUAACACGUGGAUAACCUACCUAUAAGACUGGGAUAACUUCGGGAAACCGGAGCUAAUACCGGAUAAUAUAUUGAACCGCAUGGUUCAAUAGUGAAAGACGGUUUUGCUGUCACUUAUAGAUGGAUCCGCGCCGCAUUAGCUAGUUGGUAAGGUAACGGCUUACCAAGGCAACGAUGCGUAGCCGACCUGAGAGGGUGAUCGGACACACUGGAACUGAGACACGGUCCAGACUCCUACGGGAGGCAGCAGUAGGGAAUCUUCCGCAAUGGGCGAAAGCCUGACGGAGCAACGCCGCGUGAGUGAUGAAGGUCUUCGGAUCGUAAAACUCUGUUAUUAGGGAAGAACAAAUGUGUAAGUAACUAUGCACGUCCUGACGGUACCUAAUCAGAAAGCCACGGCUAACUACGUG